GGGAAGCAUGCCCUAAACCCUCCUCCAUUCUCAUCUUCUUCUUCCUCUCCAUCAUGAACCAACCCCAGCCUUCUCCUACACACCGCAGACCAGAAUCAAGGCUUCAGCCGCCAUCAUCGACCAUCCAUUGUGCUCUACCCGCCGCAAGUCGUUCGUUGUCGGUCUACAGGUUGUCUGUCAGUUGUCUGACUCUCGUGAGAACGAGCCUAGUCAUUGUUCUUCUUCCGUUUCAUCAGUUUUUCGAUUGUGUUUUCAGCAGGUCGACGCUUCGCCUAACAUCGCCGACCGGACGCUGUCGUCCAUUUCUGCCUCUGCCACUAUAGGUUAACGCCGUUAGCGUGGGGAUCAACGGAAAGACAAUUUUUUUUGAUCACUACUUAUAAAAACGUGCCUUCAGGUUGUCUCGAUAGGAAGGCUAACAAGUUCACCUAGUGGGCCUAAUGGAUGGUAGUAGUCAAUUCCCUGGAGCCUAGUGGAUCUGUCAGACUGCCGCAAACUCAAAAUCUCAGAGAACUAGGAGUUUAGGUGGUCCAUCUUGUUUUGUUUAAAUGUUAAGGCUAUCAUGUACAUAUUAGGGUGUAAGAGUAGAACCCUUAGUGGUACGGUUGUAAUAUAAACUUAU